UCGCGGGGUUGGCUUCCCCCGCGGCCGGCGCUUCCUUCCUGGGUAGGGACUAGAGGGGCGGCGCUGUAGCUCACUAGGGUUGCGCGUCCCGCUCUUCACCGCGCCUUCCGGUCCGUGAGCGCGUUCGAACCGAUACCGCUCUGCGGAGCUCAAGCUCGACCUCGGAGUUGGAGAUGAACAGACAGGUUUAGAACUUAAGCUUCGACCUGCGCCGGCUGAGCAGUUUUCUGACAGCCACUCUCUCACCGUCUUCGGGCAGGCCCUGCUCAGCUUCCUCAGGGGCUUGUCCUCCUCUGCUUCCCCUCGCCUCCACCUCUCCCUUUACUUAGAUUAAGUUGGCUGUGGGUGACGUUUCGUGUAAUUCCUAGUCCGGAUGAAGAUGCGGGCGAAAAGAGGCCCCGCAACUCACCCAAGAACGCGCAGCAAGUAAUCAGCAGUUGGAAUUUCUGCUGAGGACUUAAGGCAUGGAUCCCAUCCCUCAGAUUAGACGGUCAUCCCGCGGCUGCGUCCUGUCCGUUCCAUGAUAAUGUCAGCGCUGCCUGGAACAGCGUACUCUUCCCAUCCACCCAUUCGUUCAACAAACAUUGGUUUGCACCUGCUCUGAGCCAGACACUCCAGCGCACUGCGAUGCAGACUUAAAUACAAAGUCUGCAGCCAUGACAAGCUCAGUCCUUAGUUGGGAAGCUUGUGACGGUGUGGUGCCAGAGCAGGUACACCCGCCUGGUGUGUAAGCCCAGAGCGGGCCACCUGGACCAGCUGGAGAGCCGCGGACGGCACCAGAAGGUGGUAUGGUAAUGCCCACACGGAACCCUGAUGAUAGGCUAACGUCCUUAGAAGCAGAUGGUACUUUGCCAUGCCACAGAUAAGUGGACUCAGGUCCAGAGAAAUGAGGGACUUGCCCAGAGCUCAGGGGAGCUUUUUUGCGUCCGGGUUGAGGCAGCCCUGAAGUCAAAUCCUGCCGCAGAGUUGCUGACUCUCGUGUCUCCUCGUACUUCUCCAUCGUAACUGCUGAGUCUAGCUUUCCAGUUACUUGCAUGACUGCCGGUCAGUGUUGGUCUCUCCCACUAGACUGCAGGCACUGUGAAAGCGCAGACCGCGUCGCUGCUGUUCCUCGUUUUAGCGUCAGUGUCGGGCUCAUAGCUCAGGCUUCCUUCCGGUUCUGAACCCCCACGUUCACGCAGAGUCGGGCAGAUGUGCUGCGUGUAUUUUACACACUGGAUCUCACCAGACUGGGGAAUGGUUUCUGUCGGUGCGGAAACGGAGGCCCUAAAGGAGGAUGGAGUUUGUCCAAAAUCACAAAUUGAGCAAAUGCCUUUCCAGGCCUGGACCGCAGGUCCAGCGUGCAAAGAAACUGGGCCUGGCCGCAGAGUCGGGGGUUCCUUCUGUUUCAGCAGAAGAUGAUGUAGCGGGUCAGUCUCCAAGGCGCAUGAAGGUCGGUGAGGCCACAGCAGUAGACUUGAUUAUUAUGCCUGCCCAGCAGCCUUCUUACCUCCCGACCUCCCUCACUCUCAUUUUCUGUAGAGAAUCACCCUUCCCUCUCUGGGCAUCACAUGGCUUAGAUGGGUUGGCCCUCCCUCAGCUUUGUUUCAGGGAUGGACACGGGAACCUGGCCUGGCCAAUCAAAGUGUCCCCUCAUCCCCAGAAUAGUGAUUGGUGCAGAAAUGUGAGUGGACAGCCCAGUGACACUUAGUCCUGACCUUUACGGGAAAUAACAGCAAAGAGCCUUGGUCCUGGGUCUCCGCGUCAUCUUUGCCACUUCAUGGGAAGUGUCCACCUGAGGCUGAAGGGGACAGGUCAGCUGGCAGAGACUCCUGAGGCGGCCCUUUACGUCCCCACACCCAGCCAGCGUUGCCCCACUUGCAGGGUGAGCAGCGCAGACCCUGGGGCUUAACAUCCGUGGGCCUGUGCAGUGACACAUACAAGGUCUGGGGCGGACACUGCAUCCCAGCUUGUGCUGUGUGGGCCCUGGCCUGCCUGCCGGCCCGCCCGCUCUCUCACUCCAACCCCCUGACCCUUGCUGUUUCACCACCUGUCCCUUGAUCCCUCAUUUCUUCAUCCAGGCUUGAUCAUCUCAGCCUCUUGGUUUCCAACGCUUCUGCUCCUUCCUUGCUUUGAAGUCUUUCGCAUCUGACCUUUGAACCCCCAAGUCCAGGUCAAGCCUGCCUCUGCCUUCUCCACACCUUGAGAAGACUGCUGAGUAUAGAGGGAGGCAGUCACUCGGGGACCCUGUGGAGCCACGCACCCAUCAUGUGCUCCAGCCUCAGCUGAGCGCUCAGAGCGUAUCCUAACUAACAGAACAUUUAAUAAUGGCCUGCGGUAAUCAAACAGUGCAGCACUGGCAUAAGGACAGACACAGACCUAUGGAGUAGAAUAGAGCAUCCAGAAAUAGCCCUCAGCAUACGAGCAGGGGGGCCAAGCCCAUGCACAGGGGAGAGCUGAAACUGUAAGUUUUGGUGACUUUGGGCUUAGCAGCAGUGACUGUAUUUGGGGCCUGUUGUCUUGUUUUUUUAACAAUUUCCUCCUUCUGAUCAGUGUCUCAGCCUGAGAGAGGCGAUAGAAAUUUAAGGCAUUAAUGCUACUCUCAGCUACCGCUCUGGAGCCCUUGCAGUUUCUGCUGAGCCUCUGUGCGGUGCUCACAGCUCACGAUGUCAGGUUCACAUUCUUUAACUCAUACUUCAUUCUUUUCCUGACAUUUCAGUCUCAGGGAGAUCAUUUGCUUGGUGGCUAGUGGCUGCGAACACGCAUUUAAAGCUUUUGAGAGAAUACAAUGCACGAUGAAGAUUAUGACGCUGAUUGUAAGCAAUAGCAUUCCCAGGGUCUGGGGUGCACUUCAGAGCCGUGACUCCAAGAUCCAAAGCAAUCACAAUCGAAGCCAACCGAAGGCCCUGUUGAAGGAGGCCCCCUUGUAAGCUAACUGGCUUCGUCUCUGGUCUUACAUUCCCACGUUCUCACCAGCAUCUGGAAUGACCUCCCUUUCCGAUUGUUGCCAAGUGCACUGGUGUGCUUGUUAUUUCACCUCCAGGUUGAUUUCUGGGGACAGAAGGGACAGAUGAUUUUGCCGGCACCCUGGAGGUGCUGCAAUGACACCAACCAAAUGACGUUGAUCCACAAGGUGAGAGCAUUGCUGCCUUUUUAAUCCUGUUUUUUUGUUUAACAUUUUUAUUUUUUUGGCUGCACAGCUUGGAUCGAACUGUGAUCCCUGACCCGGGAUUAAAUCCCGGUUCACCGCAGUAAAAGCCCACGUCCUAACCAUUGGCUGGCCAGGGAAUUCCUGUGCCUUUUUAACUCUAAUUCAGUGAAUCUUAGGGGGUGAAGUAUGACUCUCCCUUUUUAAUACUUGCUAGUCUCACUUUUUAUUGAGAUUUUUGUGGUUCCCAGCUAUUUAUGGCAAGUGAAAAUGUUUUUCCGUGUAUGGGGAAAUACUUUUAUUUAAGUCGAACUUAACACUGUGUCUGCCUGGAUUUUGCGUAAAUGAUGAAGACGGCUCAUGUCAUUGGGGUUGGAGAGGCCUGCAUGAAACGGGGGUUGGCUGGCAGGGAGCGGAGGCUGAGCAAGCCUCCUCUCGCGGCCCUCCUCCCUCUGCGGGGAAACAGCCCUAGCAGCACCGCCGAGGGCUAUCAGGAGAGUUCAGUGAGGCCUCUGGCACCGGGCCUGAGCACUGGAAGCGGCACAGAGAGUGGCAUCCGGGCUCUCCGUCCCUUUGCCCUCUGCCUGCUGUGUGUGUGCUGCCUUCCAGUCAUCUUGCCCUGCUUUCCCCUGAGGACUCUCCUGGGAAUUGCUGUGGAGCCUGAGGCAGAAAGUGGGGCUGGGGCUUGGGUCAGGUCCGCCAGCCUUCUCUGCUGGGACCUGUCUCCAUGCCAGCAGACACGCCCCACUGCAGCGGGGGAACCUGGCAGAACAUGCUGGGGAAGCAGCUGAAGCCUGCAGGUCUCCAGGGCUCUGGCUGCACCCCCAUCCCACUGAUGUCAUGUGGCAGUGGGGUCAGAGGUCAGGGGAGCGUGGUCUGACCAGAGGACAGGCCGUCAGGCUGUUUCCGGUGUAAAGUCUUAGCUGUCAGACUGUGCUCCUCUGACCAGGUGGGAGGGAAUUAUGAGCCAUUCACUAACUUAAUAAAUGUGAAAAUAGACUCCA